ensembl:lncRNA
AUGCAGGGAGGAAGAUUGAUCUCAAGGGGCACACUCCCUGGCUCCUCGGAGUGGCCCUGUCCUGUGCAUUCACAUCCAGGGAUGUGCUCGCUUCAGGCUGGGAUUCACGCGGUGCCAACAGGGUCAGAGACACGACCAGCCCAAAAGACCUGCACAUCUUUCCUGGCCAAUGGAUCCUUUCUCCAGCACUCCUCAGAAAUCCCUCUAGGAGAAAAAAUAAUCUCCGGGAAGUUUAUUGCGACAACUUGGAAAAUGGGCAAACAAACCAAAGCCAAAAUAACUGCAUGUAAGGGUUAUGAAGAGCCUUCAAAGGAAGCCCUGAGACAGAGGCCCCAAGGGACUGCAGAGGUGGCCCUGGCCCCACUCCAGCAGCAUCUCCCUCGAGGGGUCAGCCUCCUGGGUUGUACCAAGCAUCUCGGUUUGUUCCUUCAUUCUCCCCUGACCCUCAUUAACCAAGAGGAGAAACCAGUUCCAAAAAGGCCUGUUUGCCCCAUAUUGUCUGUUUCAUAUCCGCAGAGCACGAUGUGCCCUAUUCAGAAUUAAACUGUGAUCACUAAACUCAUCUGUGUCAGGGGCCUUAUUCAAAACCUGCUUUCCCAGCAAAGCAGGGCCAGUGGAUUAGUAUCCACCCCCCACCCCAUGCUUGGUGGAGUGGUUCUCAUCUUUAAUUGUCAUUCUUAAUGCCUUUGGCAAGAGACAGAGAUAGGAAGAGAGAAGGGAAGACAGAGAGAGAGAGAGCAAGGGAAAAAAAGAAAGACACAAAAGACGAGCGAGAGUGGAAGGAAGGCGCGGGAACCGCAGCAUGUUUUGUUGGAACGCCGGCACUGCCUUUAUCAGGAUCACCAGAGGGAGAGCGGGGUUUGAUCCUGUUCUCCGCUGGGAACCAAAAAGGCUUUAUUGUACCGUUUCUAACAUCUCACAGUUAAGAUCAGAACAAUGCGCCCUGUGUGUGCAUACACACCGUGCGCGUGUGUGUGUGUGUGCGCGCGCCUAAGGACAGUCUUCUUUUUGGGACCCGCCCUGUUUUCAAAGCACGGCUGAUCCGGUGGACCUGAGGCUUUCUUCUAAAGGCCAGAUGCAGAAAACACCAGGCUCUCUAUGGGUCUCCCUUUCUAGCAGACUCUUUUUUUCCCCCUCCCUUGCCCUGACUUGGAUCAGCGGGAUUCACUCCUGUCAAACAAAUUACAGCAUCUAUGAAAUGGGGAUAUCGACAUGUGUGACUUGAUCCAUUUUAAUAGGGACCCUGUGGGAGUUUCCUCCCAGCCCCACUGAGCUUUGUGUUCUUUCUGGAACGGCCGGAGGACGCUGUGGGCUUUAACCCUUCGCGGACAGCAGGUUGCCAGCCUCCUGUGUGCACGCUGCUGCCUUUUUCUCCCCAGCCAUUGUCUGGGGAGUGCACGCAGCCUGGCAUCCACUUCAUGCUUAUUAUCUCACAGGAGAUGAGCUCACCCCAGGAGGAGGGGGAGAGAGCUGUGUUUUGAACCAGAUCUUUUGAUUUCCUAUCUUCCCUCUUCCCUCUAAAAUAAUUAGAAGUGCUGGUCAAGGUAAAGGGAAAAAAAAAAAAAAGGAGCAGCCAAGAGGGGGAAAAUAAAAAUAAUAAUGUGUAACCCUGGCAUUUUGUUUUUAAGAGGCUAUUGUCCUGGCUGCUGUUUGACCCUUAUGGAAUCAUUAGCCUUUGAGCAGAGGCAGGCGGGCAGUUGGCGAGGCGCCCUCCUGUUUGGAAAAAAUGACCCCGAGCAAGUAGAAGAGGGAAUUCGCCGAUGUCCUGUUUUAUGACUUUCUCCCCUUCCCCAACUCUCAUGCUCAGAGACUCAUGGAGGCGUCUCUGGUGCUUCCUUAGAGGUGGGCUCGCCCCCAGGGCCCACUGGCCCUGUGGGGUGCUUGGGUUCCAGCUCAGAGCUGGGAGGCAGAAGGGACACUGAAGACAGUGGCAGAGGCCGCCCAGCGCCAUCCCCACCUAGCACCCCAUGCCCUGCCAGCCUCCUAGCAGGGGCCCCGUCACCUGCUCUCGUGGAUGGGAGCGCCUGGGCCAAGGGCAGGAACGUGGCCUCCUUUGAGCUCUUUCUCUCCUGAGCACAUGGCUCUGGUGUGCCUCAGUUUACGGAAGAGACGCUCCUGGGAGAUGGCCCGGAGAAUAGAGCUGCUGGCAGAUGGAGUCCUAUAUCCCAUAGAAGCACACUGUUGUUUUUCAGUCGCUAAGUUGUGUCCGACUCUUUGCAACCCUAUGAACUGCAGCACGCCAGGCUUCCCCGCCCUUCACUAUCUCUUGGAGUUUGCUCAGACUCAUGUCCAUCGAGUCAGUGGUGCCAUCCAGCCAUCUCAGCCUCUGUC